rnacentral:rRNA from 1 species
UACGUAGGGUGCGAGCGUUAAUCGGAAUACUGGGCGUAAAGCGUGCGCAGGCGGUUCGUUGUGUCGGCGGUGAAAGCCCCGGGCUCAACCUGGGAAUGGCCGUUGAAACUGGCGAACUGGAGUGUGGCAGAGGGGGGUGGAAUUCCGCGUGUAGCAGUGAAAUGCGUAGAGAUGCGGAGGAACACCGAUGGCGAAGGCGGCGACCUGGUCCGAUACUGACGCUGAGGCGCGAAAGCGUGGGGGAGCAAACAGG